UACGGAGGGUGCAAGCGUUAUCCGGAUUCACUGGGUUUAAAGGGUGUGUAGGCGGAUUUUUAAGUCAGUGGUGAAAUCUCCGGGCUCAACCCGGAAACUGCCAUUGAUACUAUUAGUCUUGAAUUCUGUUGAGGUAGGUGGAAUAUAUCAUGUAGCGGUGAAAUGCUUAGAUAUGAUAUAGAACACCGAUUGCGAAGGCAGCUUACUAAACAGAUAUUGACGCUGAGGCACGAAAGCGUGGGGAUCAAACAGG
rnacentral:rRNA from 1 species